rnacentral:tRNA from 1 species
GCGAAAGUGGCGGAAUUGGUAGACGCGCUGGACUUAGAAUCCAGUGAAAGCAAUUUCAUAGGGGUUCGAGUCCCCUCUUUCGCA